CUGCACAGCAUGCAGAGGAGGAGGCCCAGAGACAUGCAAAGCCAGCUUCAAAGAAUGGGUGCCCUGGAAUUUAACCCGAGGCACCCUGAAGGUACCUGGUUCUGAUUUCAAGGUGCUGCCAGGGGAAGCUGACAGAUUUCGUCCCAGGUGUCUGGUUGGAAGAGGCAGUCGGGAAGGAAAGAAGGAAAGGGUUUGCUGGGAAGAGCUACCAUUUCCCAUACAUCUGGCCUGGAUCCCUAACAGGGCUGGAGCAUCAGGGAAGGCAGCACAUGCGGGGCAGAUGGAAAGGAGCUUAAGGAACUGAAAUCUCGCCAGCCCCUUCCUGGAACUGCAGAGACUGAGAUGAGCAAGGAGGCCCAUGUGAGCUACAGACCCACCAGAGACGGAUGCACUGCCAGGGCUCACCCCAGUGACUGCCAGCGUGAGUCAGCACAUUUGGAGAGAGGUUCAAAGAGACUGUGGCUGGACAUGGGCCAAGGCUUCUAAAGUGAAGGCAGCACAGAGAGGGUUAAAAGCUUGCAUCAUGCUACUCUCUCGCAGAAGGGUGGUGUCCCCUGUCUAAAUGAGUGUACUGAUGGGCUUCAAGCAAGAUUUCUUAGUUCACAGAGGAAAGAUCUGAAGAUAAGUCUGAAGUCAACCUGCUGCCUACCAAAUACUAACUGGCUGUUCUGAAAAACAAGAAUAACGCUUGAGGCCAAAUGGCACUGAUGAGGCACAUACAUAGAAGAUAAAGACUGAAGGCCAGAAGACUAAGGCAAUGUCAACCCUGACGACAGCAGCUGCCAGUCCAGUCUGCAGUUCCUGCUGCCCGUCUCCAGGCAUUUCUUCUUAAGCUUCUUUCUGACAUCUGACCACAUGUACCUCCCCUUCUCUGUCCGAAGACACUGGGAGCCACAGUGGUGAGGGUAAAUUCACCCUUGUGAAAAGCUUGUCUCUGUCCUCUGGACGUACAAGAUUGUCUUUGGAGACUGGGUUCUCAAUUGCCUCCUAACUGGCAUUUAUAUGUAUAACUUGCCUGUGGUUUGUUGUGGUCUUCCUUGGCCUGAGAUCAUACGACAGUUCUGCAAACUCUCAGCCAUGGUCCUUUCCAAAAAGCCUCCCACUUCUCUUCCCCUGCAGCUCCCAGUGUCAGCUGCAUACCUCUGUAUACCUGUUUGCACAUCACUUCACAGUUUCUACCUCUGUCGCUCUGGGUCGACUACUCUAGUCUAAACUGGAAGUCUCAGCAGCUGUUUCUGCUGCUCUCACUCGGGCUUCAAGAGUUUGUGGGUUCCGAUGGUGAGCUACUCACUAGAACUUUACUGGAAGAACUACGACCCAGACUGAGGAGAAAUUCCUCACAACAGGGUCUGGUGUUACAAACAUGCUCUGUCCAGUUCCUCCCAAAGCUUAUUGGACUAGCCUCAUGGUGUGAAUUUGGCCCACAGUCCACAUGUGGUGGAGGGGUUGUGAGUACAGCUCUCAGUUCUGGGCCAAUCUAGGCAGGUUACUUUUUCAUGUCACCAAGACACAGCUCUCUAUGCCUUGAUGUAGAUGGGUCAGAGGUAACAAAUCCUGCACCUUCAUCCCCCAUUUCACACAGUGAUCAGGCUGAGUUUUCCAAUCAAUAAAAAAAUGUAGAUUUCUACACUGAGUCCUUGCUACGCACCCAUCCUCCCAGGCACCAAGGGCCAGUUUAUUUUGGGGCUUAGCUUCUUUUCAUGCCAGUUCAGCAACAGGUUAAAACUGAUCCACAAUACGUACCUGGUAGUCUAGUUACUCAUCUGGGAAGAGUGCUUCUACAUCACAUGGAAAAGUUAGUCAUGCACCACCAUGUUCAUUAUUUAAUUUGAGGGCCAAGUUUGUUCAUAAGCUGAAAAUAAUUCCCAUGAAAAUUUGGCAGCAACUAUAUUAGAUGAAAUCUCAGAGAAGUAAUCAAAGAAUUCCCAUAUAGGACAGGCCAUGUGCUUCCUCACUGAAGAAGUGAGGUGACACAGCGGUCUGAGGAACGACGGUGAGGAUGAGCCUGUAAUCUAGGGGUCAUAGCAGGGCUUCGUGCAUUCUAGGCAGACUACCACUGACCUACAUGCCAUCCCAGGAAGAAGGUCCUGAAAUAAACAUGUCUCCCUUUCUUUGCUUGUAAGAACUGAGUGAGCAGAAUGCUACUGUUGGGGGUGUAAGGACAAGACUACUAAAUAUGCCAGACAAUCACCUGGAUACAAAGAACAUCCCUCUGUAAAUUUCAACUUUCUGCUACAGAGUCCCAUCCAAUUCUAAAUUCAUGUUUCCAUGCGAUACAGCACUAUAUAUCCUGACCUCUGUAUGUGUGGGCCUUGCAUAGAUCACUGAAUCUGUAAUGAACGUGUAGAGACUUUCCUUUCUUGUUCUUAUUCCCUGAGCAAUAAAGUAAAAUCGAUGUUUGUAAAGCACUUACACGUAGCCAACCAUUAGA